rnacentral:rRNA from 1 species
GACAGAGGGUGCAAACGUUGUUCGGAAUUACUGGGCGUAAAGCGCGUGUAGGCUGCUCGGAAAGUCGGAUGUGAAAGCCCUGGGCUCAACCUAGGAAGUGCAUUCGAAACUUCCGAGCUGGAGUACUGGAGAGGAAGGCGGAAUUCUCGGUGUAGAGGUGAAAUUCGUAGAUAUCGAGAGGAACUCCGGUGGCGAAGGCGGCAUACUGGACCACUUCUGACGCUGAGGCGCGAAAGCCAGGGGAGCAAACGGG